GGUUGACAUAAGCUGCUUUACGUCAAUCUAACUCUGUAGUAUAAACCAGGCCUUAGAAUGACCUAGCUAUGUUACUCAAGCCUGCAAAAAAAUUCAUAUCCUGACUGCUGUGGUUUGGAAAAACUAACUCCUGGUUGAGACGCAGCUAGGUAACAGAUGAAUUCUUCCAUUGGCCUAGCUAGUGCAUCUUGAAGAGGAAGAUUAACUACAUUGAUGUCAAGAAGUAAUGGGUGGUAAGCAAACAAGACUCUUGAGGCAGCUGCAAUGAGGUCCCUAAAGUAGUAAUUGGAUUUCACGUUGGGAAAAGGAUAAGGGGGAAAAGAACUUUUCCAAACCUCUCUGCCAAGCACCAUCUGCUGUCUCCAUCGUAAACUGCAGUACUAGAGAGAAGACUUUGAAGCACAGGUGGUCAGGGAAAGAGAGGGAAUGUGUUAUGUUGGAGGUCUGCCAGGUUCAACAAAAGGAAGAGAAAGAAUGGAGGAGCUAAGAUAUAGGGGAGAUACAGAGAGAGAGGAGCAGCAAAUACACUAAAGAAUAAAACGAUGUUGGAAAGAAAAAAAAUCCCAGAAGAAGAGGCCUGAGAGCAGAGAGGACAGGAAGAGGCGAGAUAGUGGCAAAUAUAUCAAGACAUGUUGCUGUGUGGCAGAGGGACAAGACAUGCCCAGACAUCAGUCCAUUGGAAUGGAUUCACCCGGCAUGACUGGGAAUG